AUAAAAUGGCAAGCGCGCAGUGCGAGGAAGCCGGUGUGAAUCCGGCACGGUCGCGCCACUGUAAGCAAUUCGCUUCAUCACGACGCCGCAAGUCAGACCCUGCUGCAUGUUCUUCGUCAACG
rnacentral:ncRNA from 22 species